rnacentral:rRNA from 1 species
UUGAAUUAAAAUGCUUAUUAAAAUAUGUUUUAAAUUUAUAAUAAACAAAGUAAUCUUAUUUUUAGUUAAAAAUUGAAUAAAUAAAAUUAAUUAUAGUAAAUUAGUAUUGUGAAAGAUAGUAAAAUUAUAUUAAAUAUAAAAAAGAAGAAUUAAAUUUUCGUACCUUGUGUAUCAGGGUUUAUUAAUUAAAUUUUAUUUAUAUAAUAUUCUCGAAUUUAAAAGAGUUAACUAAAUAUAAAUUUUAUUGUUAAAUAAAUAUUUAAAAUUUUUAGUUAGAAAUGAAACGUUAUUCGUUUUUAAAUAUAUCUAGUUUUUUAAUAAAAAAGUUUAAUUUGUUUAUUAGUAUAUAAUUUUUUACUUCGUUAAUUAUUUAUUACUAAUAGGUUAUUAUUAAAGGGAUAAGCUUUUAAUAAAAAUUUUAUAAUAUUUAUGAAGGUAUAAUAAAUUAUAGGAUUAUAAGUUUCUAUAGUUAAAACAAUGUUAUAAUUGAUUUUUAUUGGUUUAUUAUUUAUAUUUUAUUUAAAUUUUCUAUUAAAAUAUGUUUUCAAUUAAAAUAAAUACAGAAAUAAUGAUAAAAUUAGUAUAAUGAAUUGUUUAAUAUUUAAAAUAUUAAUAGAUUAAUUUAAGGAACUCGGCAAAUUAGUUUUUCACCUGUUUACUAAAAACAUGUCCUUUUGAUUAUAAUUUAAGGUCUAAUCUGCCCACUGAAAUUUUUAAAUGGCCGCGGUAUUUUGACCGUGCAAAGGUAGCAUAAUCAUUAGUUUUUUAAUUGAAAGCUGGAAUGAAUGAUUGGAUGAAAAAAUGACUGUCUUAAAUUAAAAUUUAAAAGUUUAUUUUUAAGUUAAAAAGCUUAAAUAAUUUUAAAAGACGAGAAGACCCUAUAGAGUUUGAUAUUUACUAUUAUAGGUUUUUUAAGUAUAAAUUUAUUUAUAAUAGUAUUUAUUUUGUUGGGGUGACAGAAAAAUUAAAUAAACUUUUUCUAAAUUUUUACACUAAUAUAUGAAUAAUUGAUCCAUUAUUUGAUUAUAAGAUAAAAUUACCUUAGGGAUAACAGCGUAAUUUUUUUUGAGAGUUCUAAUCGAAAAAAAAGAUUGCGACCUCGAUGUUGGAUUAAAGUUAAUUUUUGGUGAAGAAGCUAAAAAAUUAGGUCUGUUCGACCUUUAAAACUUUACAUGAUCUGAGUUUAAACCGGUGUGAGCCAGGUUGGUUUCUAUCUUUAAUAAAAUAAAAUAUUUUAGUACGAAAGGACCAAAUAUUUAAUUAAUAAUUUAAAUAUAAGAAU